rnacentral:rRNA from 1 species
GGAUUAGAUACCCUGGUAGUCCACGCCGUAAACGAUGAUCACUAGCUAUUGGCGAUACACUGUCAGUGGCACAGCGAAAGUGUUAAGUGAUCCACCUGGGGAGUACGAUCGCAAGGUUGAAACUCAAAGGAAUUGACGGGGGCCCGCACAAGCGGUGGAGCAUGUGGUUUAAUUCGAUGAUACGCGAGGAACCUUACCAGGGCUUAAAUGUAUGUUGACUUAUUGGGAAACCAGUAUUUCUUCGGACAAUAUACAAGGUGCUGCAUGGCUGUCGUCAGCUCGUGCCG